rnacentral:rRNA from 1 species
CCUACGGGGGGCAGCAGUGGGGAAUAUUGCACAAUGGGCGCAAGCCUGAUGCAGCCAUGCCGCGUGUGUGAAGAAGGCCUUCGGGUUGUAAAGCACUUUCAGUCGUGAGGAAGGUGGUGUAGUUAAUAGCUGCAUUACUUGACGUUAGCGACAGAAGAAGCACCGGCUAACUCCGUGCCAGCAGCCGCGGUAAUACGGAGGGUGCGAGCGUUAAUCGGAAUUACUGGGCGUAAAGCGCAUGCAGGUGGUUUGUUAAGUCAGAUGUGAAAGCCCGGGGAUCAACCUCGGAAUAGCAUUUGAAACUGGCAGACUAGAGUACUGUAGAGGGGGGUAGAAUUUCAGGUGUAGCGGUGAAAUGCGUAGAGAUCUGAAGGAAUACCAGUGGCGAAGGCGGCCCCCUGGACAAAGACUGACGCUCAGAUGCGAAAGCGUGGGGAGCAAACAGGAUUAGAUACCCGGGUAGUC